UCUAUAAUAUAAAACGGACACUGGCUGGCUACUUUUGUGGGCCAAAACAUGCUAUAGCCAUGACAUUAUUUUACUGUUAAAAUUCAGGAGUCAUCAUUUAAUGCAAGAGCAGGACUGCAUCAACUCUCAGGCAGCUCUAAUUUUCUCUAAGCCAAAAUGCGUGCCCCAAUGUUAGUUGUGUUUAACUAGAUAAACACAAAAGCAAAUGGAUUAUAUUAAAGGUAAGAUUUUUAACAGGUCUCUAAUGGUUAAAUGGGUGGCGUUGAUUAUGAUUUGAAUGAUUUUUUUUUUUAACUCACUCAGCCCGUCCCCAUUUCCAGCCAUGUACACAAAGCUCCACCCCUAAAACAUAUACUGGUUCAACUAGUUAUCAUGCUAACUAGAGUUACCAUUAGCAAAGACAGUCAUGACGUUGCUUUUCAACUAUUUGAAAGGUUGCAUUUUACCUUGUUGGCUGCCUCCUAACUGGACCUCUUCUCAGUGGAGUACUCUCCAAGAGGAAGCAGUAGGAGGGCUUUGGAAGAGGUAGCAGUUGGCCAAUGUCGGGACUUUCUGAUCGUGGUUGAGGAUGGAGAUGCAGCGGUCCAGGAAGAUGGUGGGGACCUCAUUGAAGUGACCCUGGAGGAUGUGCUGGUGUUUGCUUCUGGGGCAUCUGCCAUACCUGCUUUUGGUUUUAGGGAGACAAUCAGGUUCCUCCAUUAUGACCUGAAUGGCAUCAGGUGGAUGUUCCCAGAAGCAAACACCUCCGUCAUUACUUUGAAACUACCCAUAGGUCAUGACUAUGACGGCUUCUGUCAUUUAAUAACUUCGGGGAUCAUUCAGUCCCCGAUGUUUGGGGUAGCCCAAUGAUAUCAUUGAUAUCUUUGUAUUGAUUGUUUGUUUUGUUCAAAAUUACUUCAAAAUGUUAUUGGUUAAUGUCUAUAAACAUUUAAAUGAUGACCUAAA